rnacentral:lncRNA from 1 species
CGGGAGUCGGGGUGGCAAACGGUAUGGGACCUUGCCUGGGAAUCACCAGGUCUCCCCGCCGUGAACAGCCCCUGCACCACGGGGAGAUGAAGGUGCGGACCGAAGCCCCAGAAAGCCGCCCGCUACCCAGCUCUCAGCUGCCAUGGGGAAGGUUCAGAGAAGUUACGGGAGGACUUCACUUCUUCCCCUUCCGCCCUCGAGCACAACUCGGUGACUCAUGCAAGCCCGCUCCGUUCUCCAGAUAACUGACGCUGGAUGCAGCCGCCUCCAGCUGCCACUUCGGGGAGACAGAGCAGGAGCACCAGGGCAGCACAGUACUUCAGCAGACACCAUCCGAACUCCGGAGCCUGACGCCCUUUCUUCGCUGACUUAUAGAGCGAUAAACGUAAUUUCCGGUUUCUCAGCUAAACCUUUAUCCUACUGUCUGCUUUUUUCUUCUUUCUUUAAAACUGAUGAUAGUGAAGAAUUUUAGUUUACAGACCCAGGGAAGAAUGUUCCCCCCACUUUUGCCCAAGUGACUUUCCUGUGCGCAAGUGAAUAUCGGCAG